rnacentral:rRNA from 1 species
CACGGGGGUUGCGAGCGUUGUCCGGAAUUACUAGGCGUAAAGGGCAGGCAGGCGGAUCCAUAAGUUUAUCGUUUAAGGCGUCGGCUUAACCGGCGUAGGGCGGUAGAUACUGUGGAUCUGGAAUGCGGUUGGGGAAGACAGAAUUCCUGGUGUAGCGGUGGAAUGCGCAGAUAUCAGGAGGAACACCAGUGGCGAAGGCGGGUCUCUGGGCCGAAACUGACGCUGAGGAGCGAAAGCGUGGGGAGCGAACAGGAUUAGAUACCCCGGUAGUCCCUGAGCGGG